UUAUGUUGUUUAUCGCUAACUUGUUUGCUUGUACCUGCAGUUGUAUUUAAACAAAUGUUAUGGGUUUUAAGGAGUUUCCCAUCGUCUCCUUUUAGCUCUGGGUUUUUUCCGUCUUCCGGUCGACGUAGCUCCGCAUUUUUAUAGUCAUGCUGCUGACUAGCUUUAGACUUCAGAUUAUCUUCAUUAGUCUUUAGCGUUUGUAUCUCGUUGUCCAUAUUGUCCACUUUUAUACAAAGUGUAGUUAUGGC
rnacentral:lncRNA from 1 species